rnacentral:rRNA from 1 species
GAUCCUGGCUCAGGAUGAACGCUGGCGGCGUGCCUAACACAUGCAAGUCGAACGAAGCUUGACGGAUGAUUUCUUCGGAAUGAAACCAGAUAUGACUUAGUGGCGGACGGGUGAGUAACACGUGAGCAACCUGCCUUUCAGAGGGGGAUAACGGCUGGAAACGGUCGCUAAUACCGCAUGACGUGUCGGAUGGCAUCAUCUGAACAUACAAAGUAUUUAUCGCUAGAAAAGAGG